CAUUUUAUUUAAUUCGUUUUCUGCAUCACCAUUUUAUUUAAUUCGUUUUCGCCAGUGAAUGUUAAAUUAAAUGUGCAUUGCCGUCUGAUUAAAUAAUUAACAAAGGAAAUAAAACACCCCAGGAAGUAUGAAAUUGCCGAGCUGCGGAGCCAUCUUCGAAUCCAUGCUGAUCCGAACUUUUGACGACUUUAACGUACGUCCACACAACACCGUAUUUGUUUAGGACUUUCAAAAGAACUAUCUGGUCCAACAUGUUUGUAAGUGGGACGUAUUCCGGUUGCAUCAAAUAGUAGAUGGAGAAGAACUAAGUUACUCCGCUUCAGUGAUGAAGAAUGAGGAGGAACCUUUUGAAGGGAUCGUCCGUACAGAACACAUGUGGACUGUGUAGCCAGAAUUUUUCCCGGAUAAAAAUCAUGGAUCACGCUAAAGAUCAUCAAAAAUUGGAAGAACUGUUUGCCUGUCGACAAUGCUCACGAGGGCUUCCCAGCACAGCUUGUCCACCAUAUGUAAAUACGCCGGAAUUAGACCAUGUGACCGUUCAUUCAUCCAGUCAAAUUUAGUCAUAUAAGCCAGAUAACAGACAAAUACGAUAAACAAAACAAGUAAACCAAAUAAUACGAACAAAAUAAAUGAGACAAACAAGACACAUAAUUAAGUUUUCCUCGGUGUUUGCCCUAUUAAUCUUACUUAUGUGUCUUGUUUGUCUCAUUUAUUUUGUUCGUCUUAUUUGGUUUACUUAUAAGGUAUUUUAAAGUAUGAAACGAACAUUUAAUUAGAAUUUAUUAUUGCAAAUUUUGCGCCGUGUUCGACUCCCAUGCAAAAAAUAUUGUCCCACCAAAAUAUGUUCCCACCAGUUUCUCCAUAUAUGGAUGACGUCUCCACUGCAAGAAAGAGCUUUUUAGGGUGUGUGAAAGGGUGCAAGAAUGAUGUUUUGGAUUGUGCUUUCGCUAAUUUCUAUACAAUUAGACGUGUGAGCAUUUGUUUUGGUACUUCGAUAAAUUUGCACGAUAGUCUAUUCUUCGGUGAGAAAAGCAAUAUUUAAAAGCAUUAAAUAAAAAGAAAAAAUGGUUCGAAUUGCUUCUAAAAAUAAUAAACAUCCGAAAAAUAAAUAAAAAUGAAAAGAAGAAGAAUCAAGGUACCCAUAUCUCCGUCAUAUCUAGCAAAAAUCUAGAAGAAUGGUAGCCAUGUCUAGUCCAUGAUAUCUCUGCGUUAUCUAAGAGAAUCUAUCUUUCAAAUUGCUAUCGGCUCAAACGCUCGCUCGGAAAUUUGUUCUAGACAUCUCCGCGAUAUCUCUGAGACAAAAAGUUGAGUCUCCUAGAUAUUUUUCUUCGAUGUCUAGAACCUGUCACACCUCAAAUCCGCCUCAAAUGCAACAACCGUUUAAACCGGUGUCUACCUUGAGUUUUAGACGAGCAAACCGUUUGAACCGAA